rnacentral:rRNA from 1 species
UACGUAGGGGGCAAGCGUUGUCCGGAUUUAUUGGGCGUAAAGAGCGUGUAGGCGGCCCAUGUAGGUCCGUUGUGAAAACUCGAGGCUCAACCUCGAGACGCCGAUGGAAACCAUGUGGCUAGAGUCCGGAAGAGGAGAGUGGAAUUCCUGGUGUAGCGGUGAAAUGCGCAGAUAUCAGGAAGAACACCAAUGGCGAAGGCAGCUCUCUGGGACGGUACUGACGCUGAGACGCGAAAGCGUGGGGAGCGAACAGG